rnacentral:SRP_RNA from 1 species
CGUACCAGCCGGGGGAGCAGCGGGGCCCUGAACCCGAAGUCCGCUAUACGCGGGGGUGGAUUCCCGUUCCGAGGACGGAGCUUGCGCAGUCUGUGCCGUACGGAAAUGUGAUGACAAACGGGUCUUGCGCGAUUCGCGGCUGUGAACCAUGUCAGGUGGGGAACCAAGCAGCAUUAAGCAGUUUAGCGGAUGCGCCGCGAGGCAGCCUGUUUCGAGCAGGAACUGCGGCGUCGUGCGUGAUCCUU